rnacentral:rRNA from 1 species
CGCGGGAGCAAUCCUGGCGGCGAGCGGCGGACGGGUGAGCAACGCUUGGGAAUCUGCCUAUCAGUGGGGGACAACCCGGGGAAACUCGGGCUAUUACCGCAUACGUUCUUCGGAAGAAAGCAGGGGAUCGCAAGACCUUGCGCUGAUAGAUGAGCCCAAGCCGGAUUAGCUAGUUGGUGAGGUAAAGGCUCACCAAGGCGACGAUCCGUAGCUGGUCUGAGAGGACGACCAGCCACACCGGAACUGAGACACGGUCCGGACUCCUACGGGAGGCAGCAGUGGGGAAUAUUGGACAAUGGGGGCAACCCUGAUCCAGCGACGCCGCGUGGGUGAAGAAGGCCUGCGGG